GUCAGUGUCAUCUGGUGUUGA
rnacentral:siRNA from 1 species